GGCAACCCGCUGGGGUCCCCUUCACCACUGUGGAAGCUUUGUUCUUUUGCUCUUUGCAAUAAAUCUUGCUACUGCUCACUCUUUGGGUCCACGCUGCUUUUAUGAACUGUAACACUCACCGCGAAGAUCUGCAGCUUCACUCCUGAGCCCAGUGAGACCACGAGCCCACCAGGAGGAACGAACGACUCCAGACGCGCCACCUUAAGAGCUGUAACACUCACCGCGAAGGUCUGCAGCUUCACUCCUGAGCCAGCGAGACCACGAACCCACCAGAAGGAAGAAACUCCGAACACAUCUGAACAUCAGAAGGGACAGACUCCAGGCGCGCCACCUUAAGAGCUGUUAACACUCACCGCGAGGGUCCGCGGCUUCAUUCCUGAAAUCAGUGAGACCAAGAACCCACCAAUUCCGGACACAUUCCCUUCACACCUCCCUCUGGUGUCUGAAAACCCAAGAACAUUCAUUUCCUUACGGAGAGACUCAACAAUCCUUCAUUGGGAUGGGAGAGGGGGCUCGCAUCCAUCCACUGUCCCCUUCACUGUGAAUGAAUUGGUUGGUUUGCAUUCGCUCACAUCUGUAGAACUGGAGGGAACAGGACACAGAAAAGAGUAGGCCAGAGGAACAACUGCCCAGGAGUCAGGGGCAAGAGGAGAACUGUUUCCCCCCAGGGGUGUCUCACCUGGGUCAGAAUCACUCAUGAUGGCCUCAGGGACCAGGAAGUUAUGAGCAGAGAUCCUUGGUGAGGUCUACACACCACAGUUUUGCCUGAAGACGAUCCUUAUUUUAGAGAGCCAAUUUAAAGUAGGAGGAAAGCAAAAGUAAUGUUACUGAAUUGGUGGCAGAGAGGAGGAGGCAUCAGCUUCCAGUUCAACCCUGCAGGCAUCCUGCUGAAACUGGUGCUCUUUACCAUGAAGCUAAACAUGCACCUGGCCCAGGUAUCAGGGAAGCUGAAAGAGGAAGUUGCAGGAGCUGGAGUUGCUGUGGGCUCACCAACCUGGCAAGUCAGCAGAGGAAGGACUGCAACUCUAGAGCUGAGGCAUGGAUCGGGAGACGCAUCAAGCAGCUAAGAUUGGCAGUGCAUGCACCAGAAGAAUACGUGAUGUGAAGGCAGCCCAACUUCUGAUUCCAAGGGUCCAGGAGAGAUGCAUGGCCACCUGAAAGAUCCAGGGGACAUGGCAAAAAGAACCUGAAUUCAUCAUGAGGAAGGAACCCAUCACAAGGAAGCAACCUAUGAAGGCAGCCAUUAGGCAAGGGACAUCUGAGAUGGGCACUGCAAGCAUGUUCAAGAAAACACCUCUUCUGCCAGCUAGAGGCUCCCCCGCCCAGUGGAGGAGGAAUCAAAUUCCACCAUCUUUAAUCUGGCUACACCAUAUUUGAAUAAUAAUCCUGAAAUUCACAUUGAUGCUCAAGAAGUCGCUUCUUCAAAACUUUAAGGUAACAAUUAAGUAUUCCAUUGUCAUGGCUCAAUUAAAUGGUUUGGCCUGAGAAAAUUGGGGAUUGUAAAGUGAGGAUGGAAUGUGCUUUGAUCCUUUUUCCAGGGUUAUUGUUUCAUUAAUAAAUGAACAUGUCAUUUGUCUCACCAGAGGGAGCUCAUGCCCUCCAGGCUUUUUUCCCUUUUUUGUUCAGGUUUUAUAAAGAUGAAUUUCCAGUGCUCUGAAAUACCAUGGAUUAGUAGUUAAGCCUGACAGCACUUCGGGGAGUAGCGAGCUUAAAGUGCCUCACACAGGUCUCCAAAGCACUUGUUUACUAAUAGAGGAAAUCAGCAACCGUCUGCAGCUGCUGAUAUCGCAUUACCAUUUGGAAAGACAGUAGCUGAGAUAACAAAUCACACAGUUUUAAUAAUUACUCCUGCAUUCCCGUUUUUUGUUUCCUGCAUAACUGUAAAGGCUGGAUUUCUUCCAAAUAAACAGAUAAAAA
ensembl:lncRNA novel transcript